rnacentral:lncRNA from 1 species
UAGAAAAAGUAAAAAGCAGGAACAGUGGAAUGUCAGCGAGCUGCAAUGCAGAGGGGAAGCUCCACCCCGUCGUUUGAUCUGAAGGCGUUUCAUCGCUUGGCGUGACUUCCUGCUCAGCGUCGGACUCAUCUCAGCAGACCACGACUUGUGGCUGUUCCGUGUUGGAGAACGCAAAGCUGGAAGUGCAAGUAAAGAGGCUGUUGGACGAUGCAACACAACACAAAUCAACCAACUUUAUUCAUCCCACUGGAGACAAUCAGUGUUUGUCUGGAGCAGCUUGUUGAGCGCCAAACACAGUUACACGGCUUGGAGGACAAGGCAAUGACAUCAUCCAGGGUCUCGCUGUCGGUGGUCUGGAGAAACAAUUACAAAAUGCAGAAUAUAUAGAAAUAUAAGCUUUUUGUGAGUGGACGUGCUGGACUGCAGCCGUCUGGGAUCCUCAUGGUACGGGACGACUGUCGACUGCGGCUGUUACAAUAAUAACACUGAUAAUUUUAUUUGCAUAGCACUUUCCAAGCAAAAUGCACAAAGUGCUUCCCAUAGUCAACAGAAAAGCACAAUCAGAUUAGGAAACAUAAAACAAACAUACACGAACAGGAUAUUAAAAGCACACAAGCUGAAAUCAGUUACCAAGAAUUUAAAGAUACUGUACAAAAAAGAUAAAACAAAUAAUGAUAAAACUGGUGGAACAUAUUAGAAUAAACUGCACAGCAGAGCAGCGUCAGACAAAGAGGCAAGAGUGUAAAAAUGGAUCUUAAGGUGGGAUUAAAAAGCAGGACAGCAAACGCUCCAUCGCCUGUUGACCUUCAUUUAGACGCUGGAGCUGGCAGGAGGCCAAACCCUGCAGAUCUGAGGCCUUUCAGCUCUGCAGUGGCCAUGAAAAACCUCGUAAGUUAGAGACCGUGUCCCAGCAGGCACAGCCGACCCGGCGCUCAGCCGUUUCAGUCGGCAUUUUGGAAACAUUACCUUCCACCUGAGGCUAGUCGCUCACCUCAGUUUCACUCGUCACUCGCCUCAGUUUCAGUAUUAUCCAGCUGGCUCUCACUGAGCUUUGCUCCAGUGCUGCUGACGGCAGGCGGUUUGUUGACAGCAAAAUCUGGCAGCGGGGCUUUUCCUCUGCCUUCCUCUUUGUCUCUGUGCCACUUGACUCACUUUGCUGCUCUUUGUUUGACGUUUGGUUUUGUUUCUUGGCCUCACAGCAACUGGAAAGACAAGGAAAUCAGGUUGGAGUGCCAGCACUAUUCCCUGAAAUAAAAACUAUCACAAAAUUAAAAAUGAAGUCUGAUAAAACA